rnacentral:rRNA from 1 species
AGUCACUGACAUUAGAUACCCCGGUAGUCCCAGCCCUAAACGAUGCGCGUUAGGUGUAUCGGUGACCACGAGUCACCGAGGUGCCGAAGGGAAACCGUGAAACGUGCCGCCUGGGAAGUACGGUCGCAAGGCUGAAACUUAAAGGAAUUGGCGGGGGAGCACAACAACGGGUGGAGCUUGCGGUGUAAUUGGAUUCAACGCCGGAAAUCUUACCGGGACCGACAGCAACAUGAAGGCCAAGCUGAAGACUUUGCCGGAUUAGCUG